rnacentral:snRNA from 1 species
AUACUUCCCUUCAAGAUACCAUAAUCACAAAAGUGGUUUUCCCAGGGUAAGGCUUAUCCAUUGCACUCUGGAUGUGCUGACCCCUGCAAUUUCUCCAAAUGUGGGAAACCCAACUGUAUAAUUUGUAUGAGUGGGGGAAUGUGUUUGUACUCUCACUUA